GUCCACGCCGUAAACGAUGGACACUAGGCGUCGGGGGGAGCGACCCUCCCGGUGCCGUCGCUAACGCAGUAAGUGUCCCGCCUGGGGAGUACGGCCGCAAGGCUGAAACUCAAAGGAAUUGACGGGGGCCCGCACAAGCGGUGGAGCAUGUGGUUUAAUUCGAAGCAACGCGAAGAACCUUACCUUGGCUUGACAUGCUGGUGAAAGCCGGUGGAAACAUCGGUCCCUCUUCGGAGCACCAGCACAGGUGCUGCAUGGCUGUCGU
rnacentral:rRNA from 1 species